UUAUUUAAGGUCUUGCAUUAGACGUUUCACUGUUAAUGAAAAGAAGAGUUUCUCUAAAUAUU
rnacentral:tRNA from 1 species